AUGAACGCUGGCGGCGUGCCUAAUACAUGCAAGUCGAGCGAACAGAUGAGGAGCUUGCUCCUCUGACGUUAGCGGCGGACGGGUGAGUAACACGUGGAUAACCUACCUAUAAGACUGGGAUAACUUCGGGAAACCGGAGCUAAUACCGGAUAAUAUAUUGAACCGCAUGGUUCAAUAGUGAAAGACGGUUUUGCUGUCACUUAUAGAUGGAUCCGCGCCGCAUUAGCUAGUUGGUAAGGUAACGGCUUACCAAGGCAACGAUGCGUAGCCGACCUGAGAGGGUGAUCGGCCACACUGGAACUGAGACACGGUCCAGACUCCUACGGGAGGCAGCAGUAGGGAAUCUUCCGCAAUGGGCGAAAGCCUGACGGAGCAACGCCGCGUGAGUGAUGAAGGUCUUCGGAUCGUAAGACUCUGUUAUUAGGGAAGAACAAAUGUGUAAGUAACUAUGCACGUCUUGACGGUACCUAAUCAGAAAGCCACGGCUAACUACGUG
rnacentral:rRNA from 1 species